CAGCCGCCGCGGUAAUACCGGCGGCCCGAGUGGCGGUCACUAUUAUUUGGCUUAAAGCGUCCGUAGCCGGGUUGGGAAGUCCUCCGGGAAAUCUGGCCGCUUAACGGUCCGAAUGCCGGAGGAUACUCCCAGCCUAGGGGGGGGGAGAGGCCGAGGGGAUUCCCGGGGUAGGGGUGAAAUCCUAUAAUCCCGGGAGGACCACCUGUGGCGAAGGCGCUCGGCUGGAACGCGUCCGACGGUGAGGGACGAAGGCCAGGGGAGCAAACCGGAUUAGAUACCCGGGUAGUCCUGGCUGUAAACGAUGCGGACUUUGUGUCGGACAAGCUAUGAGCUUGUCCGGUGCCGGAGGGAAACCGUUAAGUCCGCCGCCUGGGGAGUACGGCCGCAAGGCUGAAACUUAAAGGAAUUGGCGGG
rnacentral:rRNA from 1 species